UGUUGUCUUUUCUAUUGCUAAUCUGAUUAUGAUCCAAGGAAAAGCUGUGUUGUAGAUGAGACCCGAUGAUGAGCACUCAGAAGAAAGAGAUGGGGCUUCUUCCAACCCAACAAAUGGCUCACUCACUCUAGUGUGGUAGAAGAGUCAACUUCCCCUAUGGAACCAUACCCAUCGUACGUGUCCAAAGCCAUCACUUGUUGAAUGCUCCUUCGAUCCAAAACUACGGUAGGAAGCCAUGGAUUGGAGUUAAGAGACUGGUGGUUCGUUUGAACAACAGUGGACCAUUAGGUUAUGGAGCUGAAAACUCACAUGCUGUCAUCCGUGUCCAAAGGCAUCACUUGUUGAACACUCAUCGACGUUUCGUCCACCUUUACCACACUAUUAAGGUCGCUUCAUGGUUGCCGAGCUCAGUAUGGUGGUCUUCUUGCUACUGGCGACGACAUUCUCGGAGCCAAAGCUAUCAUCAACCUCUGGAAUCUGUCGGUGCAGCAAGAUUCUGAGUUCUCCAGUGCAAAAAUCUGGCUCAGGAACCGGCCGACCGACCGUUCCAAUAACAUCGAAGCUGGAUGGAUGGUGAUCCUUUUUGUCGAUCUGCUUAUGGAAUUCCCCAGUCUUACUCUAUUCUGAUCUUUCUCUUUUCGGUUUGUCUGCUCAUAGUCGAUCCUCGCAUGCCUGAAACCUGUUUGACCUAGCAGGCCGACUCUGGGAGGACGACGACAGGCUGCUUCAACCUCCUUUGUCCAGGUUUCGUGCAGACGAGCGAUAAAAUAGCCCUGCGAGCCUCCUUCACUAACGUAUCCACUGCAAUUUUUUGUUGAAAAAAAUUAAAUUAUUUUUUGUUAGAAACAGUAUUUAAAUACUAUUCAAUUAUUUCUUUUUUUUCUCUA